GGCAGUGGUGGAUUGGUGGUUAAGGCUCUGGAUUAUUGAUCGGAAGGUUGGGGUUCAAGACCCAGCACUGCCA